GCCUGGGAUGGAGGGCAGACGGUGGGAAGGAGGUCGGGAACCCAAAUUGGCCUUUAGUGCCUCAGGGCCUUUACACAGUUUCUGAUUGAAUUUCCUUAACAGCCCAGGGAGGCUCGUGCCCAUUUAUUGCAGGAGGAAACAGGCUCAGUAAAUCUAAGUAACUUGUGCAAUGCCACGCAACCUGCUUCUCAAAAGGUUUGGGAUGAAAUCAGAGGGAAAAAGAACAUGUCAGACAUUCCCCAAAGGAACUGACAGUUCCAGAAGCUGGCCUGAGGUGGAUGGUGGCCUUUUUUUCUACUUGGUCCAUCUUUCAGGAUGUGGGUCGUGUGGCCUGGCUUCAGUGAGAACAGCAGGGACACGUCCUCUCUGCCUUUCCCUCCCUCCCCCAGCCUUUAUCCUUUGCUCUUGUACCCUCUCCUGGAAUUUAACUCAGGGCAGAGUUUGAAAUUUCACAUCCCAGGUCUGUCCCUGAAAAUGUGAAAGGAGGCUUUCUGGGCUUGAAGGGAAGAGGCGAGCUGCAGUUGGGAGAACUAACUUUUUCCGUGGCUCAGCUCCCCCGGUGCAGCGAGGAUCCACACUCACCCUGUGGUUCCUGGACCAGAAGCCUGUUAGAAAUGCAGAAUCCAGGCCGGGUGCGGUGGCUCAUGCCUGUAAUUCCAGCACUUUGGGAGGCCGAGGUAGGCGGAUCACCUGAGGCCAGGAGUUUGAGACCAGCCUGGGCAACAUGGGGAAACCCAGUUUCUAUAAAAAAUACAAAAAUGAGCCUGGUACAGUGGGAUGCACCUGUAAUCUCAGCUAUUUGGGAGGCUGAGGCAGGAGAAUCGCUUGAACCCGGUAGGUGGAGGUUGCAGUGAGCUGAGAUUGUGCCACUGUACUCCAGCCUGGGCCACAGAGCAAGACUCUGUCUCAAAAAAACAAAAAGAAAUGCAGAAUCCCAGGCCCCACCCUGGCCCUCCUGAAUCAGGCUCUGCUUUUUACUGAACGAGAUCCCCAGGUGCUCCUUUGCUCACUGAGGUUUGAAAAGCGCUGAGGCUGGGUCCCGCAGGCAGGAGGAGGACUUUGGGUUUCAUCUGCAGUGCGAUGAGGGCCUUUGGGAGGGGGCUGUGGAGCAAAGGCAGAUGUGAUGGAAUCUCUGUUUUCGGAGUCUGCUCAGGCUGCUGGGUCCAGGAUAGCUCUGGGUACUGAGUGGUUGUCGGGAGAACAGUGAGGAGGCCAUUGGUACUCAGGCCAGGGAUGGCCACGGGCCACCAGCUCAUGAUGGGUGAACAGUGACACCUGGAGCUCUGCUGCCAUGAGUGCCCAGCUCAGGGACUUUGGGGUGGGGAUGGGGGGCCCCUUCCUUCCUCUCCCCUCCCCUCCCAAGAGACUGCAGUCACCGGAGCCAAAUCCCAGCAGGUCUGUGCUCACUGCUGAGCUGUUCUGCCUCCUUCCUGACCCUUCCUCCAGCUCUUGAGCAGGAUUUUAAUACCAAUGACUUGGUGUGAUUGACACACACAAAUGCAUGUGCACACAGACACACGUGGACUCACACACGUACAUGGCUUUGCGGGACAAUUGGCUACUUUCCCCUGAGCAGAACAAGCUGGCAGUGUUUAGCCAGGGAGAUUUGGAAAACUGCCUGGUCUAGUGGAAAAAAGUGUUCCACGAAGUUUAACAUCAGCUGCCCUGGAGGGUCUCUUCGUGGAGACAGGCUCCUGGGAAAACAUGAGUUGUAUGCGAUGGCCGACUGGGCAGUUUGCCUGGCCAGAGGCAACAGAGAGGAGAAAACAGGCAUCAGGUGAGUGGAAAAUCCCUGUAGGGAGAGGACCCAUGGGGACCAUGGUCCAGGAAAGCAAAUCUGCAAAGGCCAGAGACGAUUUAAAACCCUCAUAAAACACGUCCCCUUCCUAAUACAGAACAUUUGCCAAGAGGGCCCCUUUCCUCCUCGGUGAGGCCUGGUGGGUAAAACUGGACAUAUAAAAGCAGGUUAGACGGCUCCCCUCAGUCCAAGGAAUGCCUCCCCCAUGCCCCGCCACAGGUGAGUAUUUUCCAUGGAACUGCGUCUGUCUCUUCUGGGCAUGGGCUUAGGUUUUUUUUCAUUAUUGUUUGGAAUCCCAGGCCGAGGCACCAAGGCUGAAACAUGGCAGGAACACGGAGGAGUGGGAGGGAUGUGCUUAGCAAGGGAACAGGCCCCAGGGUGUCACCGUGUCACCUGAGAAAGUUUGGGCCGAGGCCAGAGGGCACCCACCGGUCCUCACCUGUGUCCUGCCUCUGGGCCGGUCAUGUCAUUCUAAACCAGGGCGUGGAGUAUGGGUUUGAGAUUAGCAUGGCUGGGGUAAGAUCCAAGCUCUGCCGCUUAUUAUCUGUGUAAAUCCGGGCAGAUGAUUUGCCUCUCUGAGCCUCAGUUUCCUCAUCCCUAAAGUGGGAAUGUUGUCACUACUGAAAUGACAUCUCUGCAGGGCCUGGGGUGGGGCCUGGCAGGGAGAUGCUAGUGGUCAUUUGUGUCCUUCUCCUGGCUUCAUGUCCUCAAGGAACACACUCUCUGGGGUGGGGCUGGGGCUGAGGGGGGAGCCUGGGAGGCAGGGACAGAGAGUCAUGGGGGUGACAGAGAGAGAUGGUGGGAGACAGAGCUGGGGCCAUGGGAAUGCUAAAUCCUUACCCUAAACCAAGAGUCAGCGGACCUUUUCCAUAAAGGGGCCACAUGAAUCUCUCAAAACAACUCACCUCUGCUGUUCUAGCAUGAAAGCAGUGACCAACUGGAAAUGAAUGAGUUGUGGGCGUGUUCCAAUAAAUCCUUAUUUAUGAACACAGGCAUUUGAAUUUCAUGCAACUUUCACACGUCAUGAAAUAUCAUUCUUGUUUUGAUUAUUUUCCAACCAUUUAAAACUGAAAACCACUCAGACUUGCAAACUGCAUAAAAAAAGGCAGUGGUCCAGAUUUGGUCUGUGGACUGUUUUCAGUUUGUCAACGUCUCUCCUCUACCACUAGCAAGCUAGCAAACUUCAGUCUGUCAAGUCCUAAGAAAUAAAUGAAGCAGUCUCAGGAAGGCAAAAUCUACUUUCCAGGCUGGGCACGGUGGCUCAUGCCUGUCAUCCCAGCACUUUGAGAAGCCGAGGCAGGAGGAUCACUUGAGUCCAGUAGCUCAAGACCAGCAACUUAGUGAGUUCAAGGACAACACAGUAAAACCCCAUCUCUAAAAAUAUAGAAAAAUUAGCCAGGUGCAGUGGUGCAUACCUAUAGUCCCAAUUACUCAGGAGGCUGAGGCAGGGGGAUUGCUUGAAUCC
rnacentral:lncRNA from 1 species